rnacentral:lncRNA from 1 species
AAGGGAAGGAGCCACCCCCUACUUCAUAGAAAGCUGGAAUUUUAGUUCCCAGAGUUUUGCUAGUUGUGCAGGGGAGGGAAUGUUUGUAGUCCUAGGUUCUAAUCUACUUAACUGAGCAAAGCCUUAUGGAAUGGAAUGAGUGCAAUUUGGGGGAUUAUUUUAAAGAUAGGAGGGUAAGUUUUUGAAGGACAUUCAGAUGGUAGAAAAUUCUGAUUCAGAGUAAGAUUGGGGGCACCAAAGAGGUAAACUAGAUAAGGGAGGAAGGAAAAAGUUUCUAGAUCCUUUGGUAUCAACCAGAGAAUUGAAAAGCAUCAUCUCAUUUAAUCGCACCUACAAUCCUGUGAGAUAGAUAUUAGUCUCCCUAUUUUAUACAGGACAGUCCUGAAGCCCUGAGACUCAGCAGAGCAGCCUCAUUUUCUCCCGCCGCCACCAUGUAAGAAGUGCCUUUCUUCCUCUGCCAUGAUUCUGAGGCCUCUCCAGCCAUGUGGAACUUUAAGUCCAGUUAAACUUCUUUUUUCUUCCCAGUCUCGGGUAUGUCUCUAUUAGCGGUGUGAAAACAGAUGAAUACAGUAGAUUGGUAGCAGUAGAGUGGGGUGUUGCUGAAAAGACACCCAAAAAUGUGGAAGCGACUUUGGAACUGGGUAACAGGCAGGGAUUGGAACAGUUUGAAGGUCUCAUAAGAAGACAGGAAAAUGUUGGAGAGUUUAGAACUUCCUAGAUACUUGUUGAAUGGCUUUGCCCAAAAUGCUGGUAGUGAUAUGGACAAUAAAAUCCAGGCUGAGGUGGUCUCAGAUAGAGAUGAGGAACUUGUUGGGAACUGGAGUAAAGGUGACUCUUAUGUUUUAGCAAAGAGACUGGCAGCAUUUUGCCCCUUCCCUAGAGAUUUGUGGAACUUUGAACUUAAGAUGAUUUAGGGUAUCUGGUGGAUGAAAUUUCUAAGCAGCAAAGCAUUCAAGAGGUGACUUGGGUACUGUUAAAGGCAUUCAGUUUUAAAAGGGAAGCAGAAGAUAAAAGUUUGGAAAAUUUGCAGCCUGACUAUGCAAUAGAAGAGAAAAACUCAUUUUCUGGGAAGAAAUUCAAGCUGGCUGCAGAAAUUUGCUUAAGUAGCAAGGAGCCUAAUGUUAAUCUCAAAGACCAUGGGGGAAAUGUCUCCAGGCCAUGUCAGAGACCUUCACAGAAGCCCCUCCCAUUACAAGCCCAAGGUCCUGGAGGAAAAAAUGGUUUCAUGGGCCUGGCCCAGGGUCCCUGUGCUGUGUGCAGCCAAGGGACUUGGUGCUGUGUGUCCCAGCUGCUCCAGCUGUGGCCGAAAGGGGCCAAAGUACAGCUUGGGCUGUGGCUUUAGAGGGUGGAAACCCCAAGCCUUGGCAGUUUUCAUGUGGCAUUCAGCCUGCGGGUGCAUAGAAGUCAAGAAUUGAGGUUUGGGAACCUGUGUCUAGAUUUCAGAAGAUGUAUGGAAACACCUGGAUGCCCAGGCAAAAGUUUGCUGCAGGGGUGGGGCCCUCAUGGAGAACUUCUUCUAGGGCAGUAUAGAAGGGAAAUGUGGGGUUGGAGCCCCCACACAGUUUCCCUACUAGAGCACUGCCUAGUGGAGCUGUGAGAAGAGGGCCACCGUUCUCCAGACCCCUGAAUGGUAGAUCCACCAACAGCUUGCACCACGUAUUUGGAAAAGCUGUAGACACUCAACGCCAGCUGUGAAAGAAGCCAGGAGGGAGGCUGUACCCUGCAAAGCCACAGGGGCAGAGCUGCCCAAGACCAUGGGAACCCAUCUCUUGCAUCAGCCUGACCUGGACCUGAGACCUGGAGUCAAAGGAGAUCAUUCUGGAGCUUUAAAAUUUGACUGCCCUGCUGGAUUUUGGACUUGCAUGGGCUCUAUAAACCCUUUGUUUUGGCCAAUUUCUUCCAUUUGGAACAGCUGUAUUUACCCGAUACAUGUACCCCCAUUGUAUCUAGUAUGUAACCAGCUUGCUUUUGAUUUUAAAGGCUCAUAGGCCGAAGGCACUUGCCUUCUCUCUCUGAGACUUUGGACUGUGGACUUUUGAGGUAAUGGUGAAAUGAGUUAAGACUUUGGGGGAUUGUUGGUAAGGCAUGAUUGGUUUUGAAAUGUGAGGACGUGAGAUUUGGAGGGGCUGGGGUGGAAUGCUAUGGUUUGGCUCUGUGUUCCCAUCCAAAUCUCAUCUUGAAUUGUACUCCCAUAAUUCCCUUGUGUUGUGGGAGGUAACUGGUGGGAGAUAAUUUGAAUCAUGGGGUGGUUUCCCCCAUACUGUUCUCAUGGUAUGAGCAAGUCUCAUGUGAUCUGAUGGUUUUAUCAGGGGUUUCAACUUUUGCAUCCUUAUUUUCUCUUGCUGCUGCCAUGUAAGAAAUACCUUUCACCCUCUGCCAUGAUUCUGAGGUCUCCCCAGCCAUGUGGAACUGUAAGUCCGAUUAAACCUCUUUUUCUUCCCAGUCUUGGUAUGUCUUUAUCAGCAGCAUGAAAACAGACUAAUACAGAUACUUUUAGAAGAAUUUAUUAAUCCAAAAUAUAUUUCCCUUAUGUUCAGAUUGGAAUUUCCUCUGUAGUAUAGAAAGAACUAAUGAUACUGAGGAAGAAGCAGAAGCUUACUCUAUUCAAUCUUGAGAAUUUCCAAAAGUAUGAGAGAAGCUGAGACUUUAAG